GUCUUGAUGAUAUUAAUAUCAAGUCAAAUCUGCCCACUGAAAAAAUUAAAUGGCUGCAGUAUUAAUGACUGUACAAAGGUAGCAUAAUAAUUUGUUUUUUAAUUAAAAACUAGAAUGAAAGAUUAGAUGAAAUAUAGACUGUUUCAAUUAAUAACAUAUAAUUUUUUAUUUAAGUAAAAAAACUUAAAUAGAUUUUAAAGACGAUAAGACCCUAUAGAAUUUAAUUUAUAUUUAAAUUAAGUAAUUUAAAUAUAAAUUUGAUUGGGGUAAUUGAAAAAUUAAAUUAAUUUUUUUUUAAAAAAAUAUUUAUAAAUAAAUUUGUCAUCUUAAAUUUUAAAUUUAAAAAAUUAAUUACCUUAGGGAUAACAGCAUAAUUUUUUUUAAAAGAUCACAUUAAUAAAAAAGAUUAU
rnacentral:rRNA from 1 species